GGGUUGUGAGGUUAAGCGACUAAGCGUACACGGUGGAUGCCCUGGCAGUCAGAGGCGAUGAAGGACGUGCUAAUCUGCGAAAAGCGUCGGUAAGGUGAUAUGAACCGUUAUAACCGGCGAUGUCCGAAUGGGGAAACCCAGUGCAAUUCGUUGCACUAUCGUUAACUGAAUACAUAGGUUAACGAGGCGAACCGGGGGAACUGAAACAUCUAAGUACCCGAGGAAAAGAAAUCAACCGAGAUUCCCCCAGUAGCGGCGAGCGAACGGGGAGCAGCCCAGAGUCUGAAUCAGCUUGUGUGUUAGUGGAACGGUCUGGAAAGUCCGACGGUACAGGGUGAUAGUCCCGUACACCAAAAUGCACAGGCUGUGAACUCGAAGAGUAGGGCGGGACACGUGGUAUCCUGUCUGAAUAUGGGGGGACCAUCCUCCAAGGCUAAAUACUCCUGACUGACCGAUAGUGAACCAGUACCGUGAGGGAAAGGCGAAAAGAACCCCGGCGAGGGGAGUGAAAAAGAACCUGAAACCGUGUACGUACAAGCAGUGGGAGCACCUUCGGGUGUGACUGCGUACCUUUUGUAUAAUGGGUCAGCGACUUAUAUUCUGUAGCAAGGUUAACCGUAUAGGGGAGCCGCAGGGAAACCGAGUCUUAACUGGGCGUUAAGUUGCAGGGUAUAGACCCGAAACCCGGUGAUCUAGCCAUGGGCAGGUUGAAGGUUGGGUAACACUAACUGGAGGACCGAACCGACUAAUGUUGAAAAAUUAGCGGAUGACUUGUGGCUGGGGUGAAAGGCCAAUCAAACCGGGAGAUAGCUGGUUCUCCCGAAAGCUAUUUAGGUAGCGCCUCGUGAAUUCAUCUUCGGGGGUAGAGCACUGUUUCGGCUAGGGGGUCAUCCCGACUUACCAACCCGAUGCAAACUACGAAUACCGAAGAAUGUUAUCACGGGAGACACACGGCGGGUGCUAACGUCCGUCGUGAAGAGAAACAACCCAGACCGCCAGCUAAGGUCCCAAAGUCAUGGUUAAGUGGGAAACGAUGUGGGAAGGCACAGACAGCCAGGAUGUUGGCUUAGAAGCAGCCAUCAUUUAAAGAAAGCGUAAUAGCUCACUGGUCGAGUCGGCCUGCGCGGAAGAUGUAACGGGGCUAAACCAUGCACCGAAGCUGCGGCAGCGACACUAUGUGUUGUUGGGUAGGGAGCGUUCUGUAAGCCUGCGAAGGUGACCUGUGAGGGUUGCUGGAGGUAUCAGAAGUGCGAAUGCUGACAUAAGUAACGAUAAAGCGGGUGAAAAGCCCGCUCGCCGGAAGACCAAGGGUUCCUGUCCAACGUUAAUCGGGGCAGGGUGAGUCGACCCCUAAGGCGAGGCCGAAAGGCGUAGUCGAUGGGAAACAGGUUAAUAUUCCUGUACUUGGUGUUACUGCGAAGGGGGGACGGAGAAGGCUAUGUUAGCCGGGCGACGGUUGUCCCGGUUUAAGCAUGUAGGCUGGUUAUCCAGGCAAAUCCGGAUAAUCAAGGCUGAGGUGUGAUGACGAGGUACUACGGUGCUGAAGUAACAAAUGCCCUGCUUCCAGGAAAAGCCUCUAAGCAUCAGGUAACAUCAAAUCGUACCCCAAACCGACACAGGUGGUCAGGUAGAGAAUACCAAGGCGCUUGAGAGAACUCGGGUGAAGGAACUAGGCAAAAUGGUGCCGUAACUUCGGGAGAAGGCACGCUGGUGUGUAGGUGAAGUCCCUGCGGAUGGAGCUGAGACCAGUCGAAGAUACCAGCUGGCUGCAACUGUUUAUUAAAACACAGCACUGUGCAAACACGAAAGUGGACGUAUACGGUGUGACGCCUGCCCGGUGCCGGAAGGUUAAUUGAUGGGGUUAUCCGUAAGGAGAAGCUCUUGAUCGAAGCCCGGUAAACGGCGGCCGUAACUAUAACGGUCCUAAGGUAGCGAAAUUCCUUGUCGGGUAAGUUCCGACCUGCACGAAUGGCGUAAUGAUGGCGGGCUGUCUCCACCGAGACUCAGUGAAAUUGAACUCGCUGUGAAGAUGCAGUGUACCCGCGGCAAGACGGAAAGACCCCGUGAACCUUUACUAUAGCUUGACACUGAACAUUGAGCCUUGAUGUGUAGGAUAGGUGGGAGGCUUUGAAGCGUGGACGCCAGUCUGCGUGGAGCCAACCUUGAAAUACCACCCUUUAAUGUUUGAUGUUCUAACGUUGGCCCCUUAUCGGGGUUGCGGACAGUGUCUGGUGGGUAGUUUGACUGGGGCGGUCUCCUCCCAAAGCGUAACGGAGGAGCACGAAGGUUAGCUAAUCCUGGUCGGACAUCAGGAGGUUAGUGCAAUGGCAUAAGCUAGCUUGACUGCGAGCGUGACGGCGCGAGCAGGUGCGAAAGCAGGUCAUAGUGAUCCGGUGGUUCUGAAUGGAAGGGCCAUCGCUCAACGGAUAAAAGGUACUCCGGGGAUAACAGGCUGAUACCGCCCAAGAGUUCAUAUCGACGGCGGUGUUUGGCACCUCGAUGUCGGCUCAUCACAUCCUGGGGCUGAAGUAGGUCCCAAGGGUAUGGCUGUUCGCCAUUUAAAGUGGUACGCGAGCUGGGUUUAGAACGUCGUGAGACAGUUCGGUCCCUAUCUGCCGUGGGCGCUGGAGAAUUGAGGAGGGCUGCUCCUAGUACGAGAGGACCGGAGUGGACGCAUCACUGGUGUUCGGGUUGUCAUGCCAAUGGCACUGCCCGGUAGCUAAAUGCGGAAGAGAUAAGUGCUGAAAGCAUCUAAGCACGAAACUUGCCCCGAGAUGAGUUCUCCCUGAGACUUUAAGUCUCCUGAAGGAACGUUAAAGACGAUGACGUUGAUAGGCCGGGUGUGUAAGCGCAGCGAUGCGUUGAGCUAACCGGUACUAAUGAACCGUGAGGCUUAACCUUACAACGCCGAAG
rnacentral:rRNA from 1 species